rnacentral:rRNA from 1 species
GUGAGGAAUUUUCCGCAAUGGGCGAAAGCCUGACGGAGCAAUGCCGCGUGAAGGAUGAAGGCCUAUGGGUUGUAAACUUCUUUUCUCAGAAAAGAAUUAUGACGGUAUCUGAGGAAUAAGCAUUGGCUAACUCUGUGCCAGCAGCCGCGGUAAGACAGAGGAUGCAAGCGUUAUCCGGAAUGAUUGGGCGUAAAGCGUCUGUAGGUUGUUUAAAAAGUAUUCUGUCAAAGAUUAGGGCUUAACCCUAGAUAGGCAGAAUAAACUUUUAAGCUAGAGUUUGGUAGAGGCAGAGGGAAUUCCCGGUGGAGCGGUGAAAUGCGUAGAUAUCGGGAGGAACACCAAAGGCGAAGGCACUCUGCUGGGCCAAUACUAACACUGAGAGACGAAAGCGAGGGGAGCAAAUGGGAUUAGAAACCCCGGUAGUCC